CAGUCGCCGCGGGAAUACGGGGGGGGCAAGUGUUAUUCGGAAUGACUGGGCGUAAAGGGCACGUAGGCGGUGAAAAGGGUGGAAAGUGAAAGUCGCCAAAACACUGGCGGGGUGCUUUCUUGACCAUUUCACUUGAGUGAGAUAGGGGAGAGUGGAAUUUCGUGUGGAGGGAUCAAAUCCUAAGAUAUACGAAGGAACGCCAACCGCGAAGGCAGCUCUCUGGGUCCCCACUGAUGAUGGGGUGCGAAAGCAUGGGGAGCAAACAGGAUCAGAUACCCCAGUAGUCCCUGUCUCUUAUACA
rnacentral:rRNA from 1 species